rnacentral:rRNA from 1 species
UACGGAGGGGGCUAGCGUUGUUCGGAAUUACUGGGCGUAAAGCGCACGUAGGCGGAUCAGUCAGUCAGGGGUGAAAUCCCGGGGCUCAACCCCGGAACUGCCUUUGAUACUGCUGGUCUUGAGGUCGAGAGAGGUGAGUGGAAUUCCCAGUGUAGAGGUGAAAUUCGUAGAUAUUGGGAAGAACACCAGUGGCGAAGGCGGCUCACUGGCUCAUAUCUGACGCUCAGGCGCGACAGCGUGGGGAUCAAACAGG